rnacentral:rRNA from 1 species
GACGAACGCUGGCGGCGUGCUUAACACAUGCAAGUCGAACGGAAAGGCCCUGCUUUUGUGGGGUGCUCGAGUGGCGAACGGGUGAGUAACACGUGAGUAACCUGCCCUUGACUUUGGGAUAACUUCAGGAAACUGGGGCUAAUACCGGAUAGGAGCUCCUGCUGCAUGGUGGGGGUUGGAAAGUUUCGGCGGUUGGGGAUGGACUCGCGGCUUAUCAGCUUGUUGGUGGGGUAGUGGCUUACCAAGGCUUUGACGGGUAGCCGGCCUGAGAGGGUGACCGGCCACAUUAGUACUGAGGUACGGCCCAGAAUCGUACGGGAGGCAGCAGUGGGGAAUAUUGCAGAGUGGGCGGAAGCCUGAUGCGGCAACGCCGCGUGCGGGAUGACGGCCUUCGAGUUGUAAACCGCUUUCGCCUGUGACGAAGCGUGAGUGACGGUAAUGGGUAAAAAAGCACCGGCUAACUACGUG